rnacentral:pre_miRNA from 14 species
CUCAUGCCUAGGCUGUAAACUGUGUCUAGAAAGGGUCCAAAUGAAAGACCCCCGGGGCGGGGAGACCCUCACUCAAGUCUUGGGAUGAUGCGAUCCCCCAAGAACUCGCAAGAGAUC